UGAGAGUUCAAGAGGGCGUGAAACUGUUUAGAAGCAAACAGAUGGAACUGAUGAAAAGUCGGCAGAUUCAGUACCUUGAGUUACCGUGCGUCGGUGCCGGAUGUCUCACCGGUUUCUGAACUUUACUGUGGCCAAGGGAUGCAUUUCUGCCGAUGUGCACCGGAAGCUGUGUGUGUGCUGGAGAGAAGUCGGUGAUUGAGGACCAAACCUGUUGGUGUCCCAGUGCCGGCUGAAGCCCGGUUGUGCGCACAGUACCUCGGAACACCCGCCUCUACUCUGCUGCGCUGGGAUCUGUGCUGAGACCACGCUGUUUCUUGCUCGCAAGGCUCGGCGACUGCCGCAUUGUGAACAGUGUAGUCAGAGUCGGUGUUAUUCUGGUGAUUCUGUCAGCAACCCAUCUGACCCGUCUUGAAACACGGACCAAGGAGUCUAACAUGUGCGCGAGUCAUUGAGUGGUGAAGCUCAAAGGCGCAAUGAAAGUGAAGUCCAGUUCGGCUGGAUGACAUGGGACCUUUCCCUUCGGUGGGAGGGUGCACCAUGGUCCCGUUCGUUCUGCUUGUCAGAUGAGCGGAGAUUGAGCGUACAUGCUGGGACCCGAAAGAUGGUGAACUAUGCCUGAGCAGGAUGAAGUCAGAGGAAACUCUGGUGGAGGUCCAUAGCGAUUCUGACGUGCA
rnacentral:rRNA from 1 species